rnacentral:rRNA from 2 species
GAUGAACGCUAGCGGCAGGCCUAACACAUGCAAGUCGAGGGGUAGAACACUUCGGUGUUUGAGACCGGCGCACGGGUGCGUAACGCGUAUGCAAUCUACCUUAUACAGGGGAAUAGCCCAGAGAAAUUUGGAUUAAUGCCCCAUAGUGUUAUAGAAUCGCAUGGUUUUAUAACUAAAGUUCCAACGGUAUAAGAUGAGCAUGCGUCCCAUUAGUUAGUUGGUAAGGUAACGGCUUACCAAGACAAUGAUGGGUAGGGGUCCUGAGAGGGAGAUCCCCCACACUGGUACUGAGACACGGACCAGACUCCUACGGGAGGCAGCAGUGAGGAAUAUUGGUCAAUGGGCGCAAGCCUGAACCAGCCAUGCCGCGUGCAGGAAGACGGUCCUAUGGAUUGUAAACUGCUUUUAUACAGGAAGAAACCUCCCUACGUGUAGGGACUUGACGGUACUGUAGGAAUAAGGAUCGGCUAACUCCGUG